UACGUAGGGCGCAAGCGUUGUCCGGAAUCAUUGGGCGUAAAGAGCUCGUAGGCGGCCUGUCGCGUCCGCUGUGAAAUCCCUCGGCUUAACCGAGGAACUGCCCUCCAAACUGCUUGGCUUGAGUCCGGGAGAGGUGAGUGGAAUUCCCAGUGUAGCGGUGAAAUGCGUAGAUAUUGGGAGGAACACCAGUGGCGAAGGCGGCUCACUGGACCGGAACUGACGCUGAGGCGCGAAAGCGUGGGGAGCAAACGGG
rnacentral:rRNA from 1 species